rnacentral:rRNA from 1 species
UACGUAGGGUGCGAGCGUUGUCCGGAAUUAUUGGGCGUAAAGAGCUCGUAGGCGGUGUGUUACGUCGGCCGUGAAAACCUGCAGCUUAACUGUGGGCGUGCGGUCGAUACGGGCAUCACUGGAGUUCGGCAGGGGAGACUGGAAUUCCUGGUGUAGCGGUGAAAUGCGCAGAUAUCAGGAGGAACACCGGUGGCGAAGGCGGGUCCCUGGGCCGAUACUGACGCUGAGGAGCGAAAGCGUGGGGAGCAAACAGG